UACGAAGGGGGCUAGCGUUGCUCGGAAUCACUGGGCGUAAAGGGUGCGUAGGCGGGUCUUUAAGUCAGGGGUGAAAUCCUGGAGCUCAACUCCAGAACUGCCUUUGAUACUGAAGAUCUUGAGUUCGGGAGAGGUGAGUGGAACUGCGAGUGUAGAGGUGAAAUUCGUAGAUAUUCGCAAGAACACCAGUGGCGAAGGCGGCUCACUGGACCGGAACUGACGCUGAGGCGCGAAAGCGUGGGGAGCAAACAGG
rnacentral:rRNA from 1 species